AUGGAAUCAUUUCCGCCUAAUGUGACGUUCAGAAGAAAUUUAGGUGGACCCAGACUCCAGUCGUGGAACAUCCUGCUCCAGCGGUUGUCCACGGUGCAAUUGUCACAUGGGUCUGAUGUAUUCCGAUGGAAUCUCCAUGGGAAUAGACAAUUCUUAGUUGAGUCCAUGUAUAGAGCGUUAAUCCAGUCUGAUGUGCGAGUUGAUAAUAACAAUAAGAUCUGGAAGAUGAAGAUACCUCUUAAGAAUAAAAUCUUUGCAUGGUAUCUUCAUCGCGGAGUCAUUCUUACAAAAGAUGACCUUAUUAAGAGGAAUUGGCAAGGAAUUUUGCAGUGUGUCUUUUGUCACCAUGAUGAGACAAUAAAACAUUUAUUCUUCCAAUGCAAAUUGGCUCGUUCUGUAUGGUCAGUCAUCCAAAUAGCUUCUGGCUUGUAUCCUCCUUGUAGUGUUGAUAAUGUAUUUGUCAUCUGGUUACAUAGGAUUGAUCACAUGUUUACAACUCUUCUCAGGGUGGGAGCGCUAGCCGUUAUUUGGUCGUUUUGGCUAUGUAGAAAUGAUAAGGUUUUUAAUGAUAAAAGUACUUCUAUGAUGUAG
rnacentral:rRNA from 1 species